GGGGAUUCGCGAGCUGGGAAGACCGACCACGGGCAGAGCGCUGAUCUCCCAGCAGCCGGAGCGAGAGCCGCGACUCGCAUUCCUCCUCGAGCUACGCUAAAUAGAUCGCCAAUUCAUGAGCGUCAAAAGCAUGUGCGCCGCCGGGUUAUGGUGUCAAGGAAAUAAACUAGUGGGAGCCUCGGCAGCCACCUGGGCACGCCAGGUUUCGGCGCUGCCACUGUUUCCGAUGUAUGGUACUGCUUUUUAUAUUAUUGAUGGAUUUUUUUGAUUGAGAUAGGUUCUGUUGCAGUCUGAGAUUGUUGUAAUUUUGACAUUUCUACUGUCCAUCAGCUAUUUGUUGCUUAGGUCAUGUUA